rnacentral:siRNA from 1 species
ACCAAUCGGAUAUCCACAGGUU